rnacentral:lncRNA from 1 species
GGCAGACAACAAAGGACAAAGCAGAACCAGGCAAGCACACACAAACAUAAACAGAAAACAAACACAGGACAACAACAGGCAAACAGACCAGAACACAACAGGCACAAAGCAAAGCAGAACAGAAACACAGGGCAGAGCAGGAAGGCCGACCAAAACAGAGCUCGAGGGACCAGAGCAGAGCUCACGACAACAGACCAGAGAACUGACACGACACACGCAGCAAACAAGAAGACUACUCAAAAAAAGAAAAGAUAAGAGACAAGCAACCACAGAGGCUAAACUUGCCACACACAUAAACACAGAGAGUGAACUUUAACCAUGAUCAAUGUUCAAGGUUUUCUUGCAGGAAUUCAG